UACGAAGGGCCCGGGUGUUACUCGUUUUGAUUGGGUGUAAAGGGUAAGUAGGCGGCUCACCGUUAAUUUUGGGCUAAAGCGCGGAGAGUUCCUACGCGAGCGUCCAAUUUGUAGGGUGUACGGCUAGAGUUGAUUUGAGGUUGAGGCAAAUUCGUAGGUAUUAGUAAAAUGAGACGAUCUUCGAAUGAACGCCGGAUAGGCAAAGGCGCUUUUCCGCUUUCAACUAACGCUGAGGUACGGAAGCGCAGGGAGCAAACAGG
rnacentral:rRNA from 1 species